ACCCAUGGAGCGCGAGAUCAUGACCCGAGCCGAAGUGGGACGCUCAACCGACUGAGCCACCCAGGCGCCCCAAAAUGUUUUUUUUUAAGGAAAGGAUUUUUUACCUGGAAUGCCCUCCUUCCCUUGACUCAUUCUUUGAAAUCAGUUCAGCUCAACAUCACCCCUCCUCUGAAUGCUGUCCCAGUGCUUUUCACAUCCAGUGACUUCCUUGUUCUGUGUGCCGCACUUGAGAAGGCACUCAGGGCCCUGACUCCAACCUGGAAAUAGAAAGGGAAGGUUAUGAUGCCCAUUGCUCUUGGCCAUGCUGGAGGGGUAGCCAUUGAUUUCUGUGCCUACACCCCCCUGGGCCAUCCCCUAGAAUGGCGCCUGCGCCAUUGUUGGCCCAUAAUGAAUAUGCUGAAUAACAGACAUAAAAAAUUGCUCAAGCCAUUGGAUUCUCCCAGGUGGAAAAUACAUUAGAUUUAUAAAGGUUUUUUAAAUUUUUUUCCCCAUUUUUUUCUGUUGAUGAUAUUUCUAACCUCUUAGCACAACUUUGACAUGUAGUAUAGCGGACAUGUAUGGUUUUCCUUCACCAAGCCGGAGCAAUGACAAUAUUGCAUUCCCUGCAUGCGUGGACCCCCCCUCCAAGUCAAUGAAUGUGACACUUCUGCUCUAUGUGAACUAUAGAUAAAGCAAUGUUGUUCUCUACCAGACGGUUCUAAGCUGGUUGGAUAUAAACCCAGAGCAGCCUGCGGCCUCCAUGCCACCCUGUGGGAAGGACCUAACUAAGAAAAAAUUUCAAAAAGAAGAAAGCACAACAAGAGAUGGAGAGACUGUCUUUUUGGCUUGAGAUGUAGCGUCAACCAUGCCUGAAGCUAAGUUCUGCCUGGACUUUCCAGUCUUGAGAGCCAAUAAAUUUCCCUUGUCACGUAA